AUGGGGCUGUUUGAGCCUCUUGUGGGAUGCUUUCACUGUCUUCUACAGAUGGCAAGGCUCCUCACCUGUGGCCAGGAGGGCUCCCAGUGCAGCAGCCCUACUGGCUUCACGUCUCUGCAAAACAGGAGGAUGGGGAGAAAGUGGUCACAGCUGCCAGUCUGUCCUUAUAGAGCAGAACAGAAAUCAUUUAAAGGUACAGAUUUGCUUUCUACUUCCUGUUCUUUUAUCUGGAAAUGGUAAAAUCUGUAUUUUUACAGAAAUACAGUUUCCUCUACAAAGAACUAUUAGGUUUUUGGAUCAGUUUGCUGUAUGAAUUUGGUCAUCAUUUAGCAUUAAUUCACAAGUAAUUUUCUUGGUUAAUCCAUUUUGUAUUGGUUUACUUUCUUCUUCAUUCAAAAACUCCAGGGCAUGCUCCAAAUCCACCUCCAACUCUGCAUGGUUUCUCAUUUCAUUUUCUAAUCCACUGAAACUAAAUGAAAGUUAACUUGAGGUCGAUGACUUUCCCUCAGAUAACAGGCUCAAAUUCUUCAGUUUUGACUGAGUAUUGGGAUCAUUUCUCAACCUGUAGCAUAAAGAUUAUGGGUUUCAAGCUACUCCAGAAGUUGCCUUUAUGUCAAAGAAGUGAGAAGUAUGGAGCUCGCUAAAUUAACAGUGAUGACAUAGCUUUCUCUGGUAGUCGGCAUCUUCUGUACCUCAUUAUGUAAUCACAGAUUUUUACAUUCUUUUUAUAAAUCCCAGCCUAUUUUUUAUUCUUUGCUUCCUCCCACUUCAUUUGCUACUGACGGCUGCUGCUAAUGUUUCCUUACCUCUCUCAGAAAGGAAGUAGGUUAUGAACAACAAGAAGAACCCUAUCAGAUUAAGGCAAACAUGUGGGCCCUACUGAGAAAUGAUGCAUCUUACAAUAGUACAAGAAAAACAACUUACUUUGAAGCCUAAAUUGCUAAAUAUAUCCAGAGACUUCUGUGAGCAGAAAGCAGCUGUCUUCUGCUUGUUUUCAGUUGUUAGACUCCUGAUGUCCCAAAUAACGCACAGUCUCAUAAAGGGUCAAAAUUGAUGCAAUCAGGAUAAUGAAAUCACUCUGACAAGGCUGCAGUUUAUACUCAGUUUAUAAAUAGGAGUCUGCUGUCUCAGGUUAAGAUAUUGUGAAGUUCCACUGAAUCGUUAAGCUAUUCAGAGCAUUGUGCUGCUACUGAAGUAGGAAAAUAUAAUGUCCUAAAAAUAUCCUCAUAUAAACGUGUUAGAAAUAGAAGGAUGGGAAAUCCAGAAAAAAAAAAAAAAAAAAAAAAAAAAAAGUGCUAGAGAUACCACAGGAAAAUGAUAAAAACUUGGUCCUAUUUAGUUUUUAGCCUUACAAGGAAUUAUUAUCUUUAAAAAUAAAGUGAACCAGAGCUUCGACUACCA
rnacentral:lncRNA from 1 species